rnacentral:piRNA from 1 species
UUCUAGGGAAGCCUAGCUACUUGAAGC